rnacentral:rRNA from 1 species
UACGGGGGGGGCAAGCGUUGUUCGGAAUUACUGGGCGUAAAGGGCUCGUAGGUGGCCAACUAAGUCAGACGUGAAAUCCCUCGGCUUAACCGGGGAACUGCGUCUGAUACUGGAUGGCUUGAGGUUGGGAGAGGGACGCGGAAUUCCUGGUGUAGCGGUGAAAUGCGCAGAUAUCAGGAGGAACACCGGUGGCGAAGGCGGAUCUCUGGGCCAUUACUGACGCUGAGGAGCGAAAGCGUGGGGAGCGAACAGG